rnacentral:pre_miRNA from 1 species
CAACUGAGUUUGACCCUGAGGCACUCAUACCGCUACCUAGUUUGGAAUGUUUACCGUAUGAAUGGCUCAGUUAGCGGUAUGAGUGUCUCAGGGUCAAAUUUUGAUUGC